GAAAGUGUGCCCGAAAGACAAGGAUCUCCUUGAUAGGGAGAACUAUAGAGGUUCAUAUCCUCUCACUUUCU
rnacentral:tRNA from 1 species